rnacentral:rRNA from 1 species
AGUGAACGCUGGCGGUAGGCCUAACACAUGCAAGUCGAACGGCAGCACAGUAAGAGCUUGCUCUUACGGGUGGCGAGUGGCGGACGGGUGAGGAAUACAUCGGAAUCUACUUUUUCGUGGGGGAUAACGUAGGGAAACUUACGCUACUACCGCAUACGACCUACGGGUGAAAGCAGGGGAUCUUCGGACCUUGCGCGAUUGAAUGAGCCGAUGUCGGAUUAGCUAGUUGGCGGGGUAAAGGCCCACCAAGGCGACGAUCCGUAGCUGGUCUGAGAGGAUGAUCAGCCACACUGGAACUGAGACACGGUCCAGACUCCUACGGGAGGCAGCAGUGGGGAAUAUUGGACAAUGGGCGCAAGCCUGAUCCAGCCAUACCGCGUGGGUGAAGAAGGCCUUCGGGUCGUAAAGCCCUUUUGUUGGGAAAGAAAAGCAGCAGGUUAAUACCCCGCUGUUCUGACGGUACCCAAAGAAUAAGCACCGGCUAACUUCGUG